UACGGAGGGGGCAAGCGUUGUUCGGAAUUACUGGGCGUAAAGGGCGCGCAGGCGGCUGCUCAAGUCAGGCGUGAAAGGCCUGGGCUCAACCCGGGAAUUGCGCUUGAGACUGGGCUGGCUUGAGUGCGGGAGAGGAUGGUGGAAUUCCCAGUGUAGAGGUGAAAUUCGUAGAUAUUCGCAAGAACACCGGUGGCGAAGGCGGCCAACUGGACCAUUACUGACGCUGAGGCGCGAAAGCGUGGGGAGCAAACAGG
rnacentral:rRNA from 1 species